rnacentral:rRNA from 7 species
CUGACCUCGAAUCAGGUAGGACUACCCGCUGAACUUAA